GUGCAGUUUUCUGAGCUGAUGUUUGCCUUUACGUGUAACUACUUUUGCAAAUGGAAAAUUGGAAACUGUACAAAAUAUGGAUCUCUGUACUGUACUGGAAUCUUGGUGCUACAGCUCAGGACUGAUGGAGAAAAUGCUGGGAAUGCACGUUUAAGGAAUAGAUUUAACAUAACAGUAGCAUAGGCUUACUGCACUAAAAUGAUUGGUCCGCACCAUUGAAAAGGAAGGUAGAAAUAUCCCUUAAAGCUACUUCUGCAAUGAACUGUUUUAAAAUAAAUAGUGCAGUAUAUCGCAGUGGUACAAUAUUUUCUACUGAACUGGUAGAAAGUUAGUAUGUUAAACAGCAACUACUGACAGGAAACAUCUUGGUGGAUUGAGUAACUUUGGGCUGGAAAUACUAAAGUAAUUUGCUUAAGAGCAUUCUGAACCUACAGUGUGAGUUUUCAACAAUCAUUGGAAAGCUGGGAAAAAUUCAGGAGACUCUGUGGAGCAGGAAGGGAGAAACUUGCCACAGACUCUUCUAGAGGAGGUUGAAGCAUCAACAUGCUUCAAAGGUAUCCUUGCUGCUUCCUGUUGGAAAGGGAUUUCAGACUGUGAAUUUCAGUUUGAGGUAGGUAUGAAAUUUUGCAGUGUAGGGAAAUGCUUGAGUUCCAGAAGGAGUAUGGUGCUCUCUCCACAGGUUUUUUCUGUCUGUUUUAGGAUAAUUUGGAAGCUUCCUCAUUUCUGGUGCUGUUGCAAUGCUCUUGCUGUGGUUUUUGUUUUGGGUUUUCAUUUGUUUUGUAUUAAUAGAUAUGAGUUUGUAUAACAAGCUCAAGUAUCUUAGGGUUAGGAAUUCUGUUAUGGCUGAAGAUCACAACGUCUGUAGCUGUGUCUCUUACCAAUUUACCCUCAAAGAAUUCAAGCUCUACUUACAGCCCAGCCCAAAGAAUUCUAUCCUCUUCUGUUCUGUCCUAGGAAAAGACUUCUUCAGUUAUGCUACUCAAGAGAAAGUCAGUCACACUAUUUAAGGGAAAAAGUCCUCAUAAGAUACCAUGCUUUCUAUGAACAGGAGAGGGAGGAUUGUAGUACUAAAAUUUACUGAAAUGAGGCUACAGUUCUAGCACAGGAAAUUCAGUAUAGAUCACAUCCAAAAUGUACCAAGAACAGUAAGGCAGUGUUCCUGAAGGAGCUGUUUAGCAGAUUUUCUACAUGCCUACUUCAGCUAAACAGUAACUUAACCUUGUGCAUUUCCCUGUCGUGAACUGUAGUUACUGGGACUGAAAAGUCUCUUCCCUUUGCCUCCUUUUGCAGACUGAAGCAUCUGUCCAAUGAUCCAUGAAGUCUGUCUGCAGGAGAACAAGAAUGAGCAGCUCAGAAAUCAAGGAGUUCAAAAUUUCCACUGUCUGUGUCAUGGCAGUGACUUGAGAUGCAUCCAUAAGAUUUCAAGUCUAUAAAUCUAUACAGUUUCAUUACCUUCUCAGUUUUUGUCUAUGUUAUUUAGCUGCAGUUUUUGUUAUGGACAUAUCUCUGACCAAAUUCUUAAGCCUGAUGACA
rnacentral:lncRNA from 1 species